rnacentral:rRNA from 1 species
GGGGAAACGGCAUUUAGUGCUUGCACCGAAUGGACGUCGACCGGCGCACGGGUGAGUAACGCGUAUCCAACCUUCCCAUAACUAAGGGAUAACCUGCCGAAAGGCAGACUAAUACCUUAUGUAAUCCUUUGAUGGCAUCAGAUAACGAUAAAAGAUUUAUCGGUUAUGGAUGGGGAUGCGUCUGAUUAGCUUGUUGGCGGGGUAACGGCCCACCAAGGCAACGAUCAGUAGGGGUUCUGAGAGGAAGGUCCCCCACAUUGGAACUGAGACACGGUCCAAACUCCUACGGGAGGCAGCAGUGAGGAAUAUUGGUCAAUGGACGGAAGUCUGAACCAGCCAAGUAGCGUGCAGGAUGACGGCCCUAUGGGUUGUAAACUGCUUUUGUAUGGGGAUAAAGUCAAUCACGUGUGAUUGUUUGCAGGUACCAUACGAAUAAGGACCGGCUAAUUCCGUGCCAGCAGCCGCGGUAAUACGGAAGGUUCGGGCGUUAUCCGGAUUUAUUGGGUUUAAAGGGAGCGUAGGCCGGAGAUUAAGUGUGUUGUGAAAUGUAGACGCUCAACGUCUGACUUGCAGCGCAUACUGGUUUCCUUGAGUACGCACAACGUUGGCGGAAUUCGUCGUGUAGCGGUGAAAUGCUUAGAUAUGACGAAGAACUCCGAUUGCGAAGGCAGCUGACGGGAGCGCAACUGACGCUGAAGCUCGAAGGUGCGGGUAUCGAACAGGAUUAGAUACCCUGGUAGUCCGCACAGUAAACGAUGGAUGCCCGCUGUUGGUACCUGGUAUCAGCG